GACGGACGCUGGCGGCGUGCCUAAUACAUGCAAGUCGAACGCACUCUCGUUUAGAUUGAAGGAGCUUGCUUCUGAUUGAUAAACAUUUGAGUGAGUGGCGGACGGGUGAGUAACACGUGGGUAACCUGCCCUAAAGUGGGGGAUAACAUUUGGAAACAGAUGCUAAUACCGCAUAAAACCUAACACCGCAUGGUGUAGGGUUGAAAGAUGGUUUCGGCUAUCACUUUAGGAUGGACCCGCGGUGCAUUAGUUAGUUGGUGAGGUAAAGGCUCACCAAGACCGUGAUGCAUAGCCGACCUGAGAGGGUAAUCGGCCACACUGGGACUGAGACACGGCCCAGACUCCUACGGGAGGCAGCAGUAGGGAAUCUUCCACAAUGGACGAAAGUCUGAUGGAGCAACGCCGCGUGAGUGAAGAAGGUUUUCGGAUCGUAAAACUCUGUUGUUGGAGAAGAAUGUAUCUGAUAGUAACUGAUCAGGUAGUGACGGUAUCCAA
rnacentral:rRNA from 1 species